AUUUGAAAUGACUUUAGUUUUGUGUCAUGUCUGAGAUCUGCUUUUUUUCUACAAAAUUAAACAACUGAAUGAACAUCCUCCGAGGCCGGUGAUUCCAUAAUUUUUGCCAGGGGUUGUAAUGUGAAUAUUGUCAAUCUAACCUUGUUAUAAUGGACUGCAAUGCUAUUUUUAUAGUAGUGCUGCUGGGAUUUAAUACACAGAUUGCUCUGUUAAAUUUGGACGGUUUGUUGUUUUGUGAUUCCUGCUGGUUGCUAAUGAAACCCUGCUGGAAGCACUGAAGUUUGCACGUUGUUUAUGAGGAGCACCCAGCAGAAUGACUGCACUCGUCUGUCAUCACCAACAAAAUCUCCUCUUUACCGCUCAAUCAGACCACGCCUUCCAGUUCUGAUCAGCACCUGCCACCUUCUGUUUCUGUUCAUAAAACAUCUCCAUAACUGAUGGCAUAAAAAAACAAGACAGGAAUUCAUGUAAACACAUGAAUCAGAAAUGUUGCUUGCAUUUUACAAGUCUAUGUAAAAGAGGUCAAAAUAUACAAAGAGUCCACAUUUUCGUGAAUUCUUUUUCACAAAAAUCUUUGCAUUUUGCCCUCUCAAAAUAUUUGACAUUUUUCAUCUUCAGGCCAUUCAAAAUAAAUAAAUAAUCUGCUCAUAGCUAAAGAAGCUACAAGUGGAACAGAAAUGUAAAAGGUGGCUUACAUAUAAUGAAGCAUAGAUGCGGGUUUUAAAUAUAAAUAUUAUAUAUUCUUCCACGUGAAACUGGUGUUUCAGUGUCUUGCCUGAUUUUGUUUACUUUGGUGCAACAAGACUGUUCACAAUCAUCGUCUGGUCACUUUUGUAACUGUCAACUAUUAGGGAGAAAUUAUUUAUUCUGUCACCCUGACACUUACUGCUUUGUUCUUACUUAUGUGGGAUUUUUGAAGAACACUAAAAAAAUCUGAUUUUGUUGAUUUUUAAAUACACACCACACCUUCAGAUCACUGUGUAUGAAUGUCGAUACUGUUCAGUACAUAUCCCUUUUUAAAAACCUAUAAUUUUUUUCUAAAGUGAG